rnacentral:snRNA from 1 species
GGAUAUGAGGGCGAUCUGGCUGCAACAUUUGUCACCCCGUUGAUGGCCAGGGUUGAUUUGGGCGAUCUGGCUGGCUAGGCGGGUGUCCCCUUCCUCCCUCACUGCUCCAUGUAUGUCCCUGCUGAAGCUGCACACUUGGUUGAAGAGGACAACCUUUCUUGCUAGAGGAGGACCGUUCUUUGUUCAAGGGUAUACCAGGAGCUGGACUGCCUGCUAGAACCUCUGAACAAACUCUCAAGUUCACUCCUUGUUCCUCCUAGGAGUCUUAGAAACAUUCAUUACAGCCUCAGAAUUCCUGGAGCCUGCUGUGU